AGGGAAUAUUGGGCAAUGGAUGCAAGUCUGACCCAGCCAUGCCGCGUGCAGGAAGAAGGUCCUCUGGAUUGUAAACUGCUUUUGUCGGGGAAGAAUAGGUCUCUUGCGAGGGAUUGUGACGGUACCCGAUGAAUAAGCCACGGCUAACUACGUGCCAGCAGCCGCGGUAAUACGUAGGUGGCAAGCGUUGUCCGGAUUUAUUGGGUUUAAAGGGUGCGUAGGUGGUUUGCUAAGUCAGUGGUGAAAGCUGGUUGCUCAACAAUCAAGUUGCCAUUGAUACUGUCAGACUUGAGAGAAGUGGAGGCUCAUGGAAUGGAUGGUGUAGCGGUGAAAUGCAUAGAUAUCAUCCAGAACGUCAAUUGCGAAGGCAGUGGGCUGUACUUUUUCUGACACUGAGGCACGAAAGCGUGGGGAUCAAAC
rnacentral:rRNA from 1 species